UGACCCUUAUUAAGCCGAGGGUCACCUAGCCAACUGACGUUGUUAGUGAACCAAAUUUUGUUCAUAUUGACAGCCAGUCACACUUCUUGUGACUGGCUUUUUUUAU
rnacentral:sRNA from 1 species